AUAUUUAUUAUAUGUAUGAAAUAAAAACCGCAGAUUAUUUCCCAUUAUUUAUCGGCACUUCGUCUUCCUCCACCGGUGAUGAAAUCUGUAGUCUCUCUACCGGCGAUGAUGUCCGCAGCAGCAGCACCUCCAUUGGCGAAUUUCACGGCCACAACUGCUUCACGGCCUACAGCCCCCUCGAUCCAGUGUAACUUGCUGUUCUAUGUUAGACAUCACGUUUACUCUCAUAAGAAGUAUUCCAAAAAUGGAAUUACCAUUAAGUAUAGAGAUCUCCUGAAGCACAUCAGACCAGAAAAGGGAUAUUCUUCAACGAGUGUUCGAGGCACCAUUUAUUGUUCAAAUCAGAAGGAAAGAAAUGUUGGCUUGCCUUCUGAUCAUAUCGCAGUUGGUGCAAAAGUGAUAUAUGCUGCUGCUCCUGCAAUGGGUCAUAAUCAGGAAUCACAUCCAGAAUGCAACUCUAGAGUUCCUGCAAUUUUGACAGCUUUGGAAAAGAUGAAACUGACUUCAAAGGUAUGCCACAAACACAGCACAAUUAUUUGUCAGUGCUGAUUCUUGUGUUUAUUGUUUUCACCAGUGAUGAUAAAAGACAAACACAUUGGGUAUCUCUUGAGGGGUCAUUUGGAAUCAGAGAUGAGGAAAAUAAAUUUGGGAUAAAAUUUAAAGCAAAGAUGUUGCACAUGCCCAACUUGCAAACUGAAGUAUGAAAAGUCCUUUUGCUGAGGCCCUAUGUAAGCACAUACGCUAUUUGUUUUCUGACGCUACAUGAAACAAACUCAAGGUGCGACUAGUAACUUUCUCUUUGACGAAGUGCCAAUCAAUUUCAUUUUAUUUUGUUCAGUCAUGUUGAAAAUGAUUCUGAGGCUCUGAGCUAUACUGAUUGCAACUUUAUUGUGGAAGCUAGUAGAAGGCAUUGACUCGCUCCAUCUAUCCAUCUGUCUACGGGUUGAAGCUAGUAGGAAACUGCAAUCCCAUGCCAUGUAUGUCCAACAACUCUCUCCAAAAGUUCCCAGUAAAGUGAGGGUCUCAGUCACUAAUGAUAUGCCUCGCCAAGCCCCAAUACUUCAACAUAUUCUUAAAGAAUAGCUUGACAGCUUCCUCGGCAAUGCAGAGCUUAGUGAGGCGUGCAUGAAGAUGGGUAUACAUCGAAAAUCUAUCCACGACCACUAUAAUAGUGCAUAACCUCUGGACUUCGGCUAACAUGUGAUAAAUUCUAUAGCCUUGCUCUCCCAUGGAUCUCCGUAACUGGCAAUGGUUCCAAAGUCCUCCAGGCUGUUGCUGCUCAACAUCCUGUUGACAUAAAAGCCAAACCUGCAUGUAACAUUCAAUGUCAUCCAGUAUGCACGCUGAUAGUAAACCGACUAAACCAAGCCUCUUGUGACAUUGGCCUGGAUCACCAUCCCAAAUGGUGUCAUUACUCUCGUACAUGAUGUGCCACCUAAUGACACUCCCAUUUCAGCUAUUUAGCUAAACCUUGUGUGAGCUACCUCCUAUUCUUAAGCGUUAGCAAUAUACAGGAAGGAUUUUAUAGGAGCUACCAUCCUACGCUAGAGUGAAGCAGUUUCUCCUAGGAACUUAUGGGAGAUAUUAUGAAGUCAGAUCCGGUGAAUUUUCCUUUGUCAUAGGACCUUUACCACUAUGGUGAUCAUAGGAGGGCAAGAGAAUUCCUGGUAGAACUCUACCAUUUGGGUUUAUUUUU